rnacentral:rRNA from 1 species
GAUGAACGCUGGCGGCGUGCCUAAUACAUGCCAGUCGAGCGAACGGACGAGAAGCUUGCUUCUCUGAUGUUAGCGGCGGACGGGUGAGUAACACGUGGAUAACCUACCUAUAAGACUGGGAUAACUUCGGGAAACCGGAGCUAAUACCGGAUAAUAUUUUGAACCGCAUGGUUCAAAAGUGAAAGACGGUCUUGCUGUCACUUAUAGAUGGAUCCGCGCUGCAUUAGCUAGUUGGUAAGGUAACGGCUUACCAAGGCAACGAUGCAUAGCCGACCUGAGAGGGUGAUCGGCCACACUGGAACUGAGACACGGUCCAGACUCCUACGGGAGGCAGCAGUAGGGAAUCUUCCGCAAUGGGCGAAAGCCUGACGGAGCAACGCCGCGUGAGUGAUGAAGGUCUUCGGAUCGUAAAACUCUGUUAUUAGGCAAGAACAUAUGUGUAAGUAACUGUGCACAUCUUGACGGUACCUAAUCAGAAAGCCACGGCUAACUACGUG